rnacentral:lncRNA from 1 species
CGCGACAGCCCGGGCUGUCCGAGCCCGCCCCCCCACGCCAAUUGGCCAGGCCGCCUGUCCUGCGCGACGGCUCGUUUCGGCAGCUCCGUAGGAUUGGUCGAAGUCUAGGCGCCGCCUCAGAGAUGGACUGUCGAUCACGUCGGGUCCGCCUGUGCCCGCCCCCUGCGGACCGGCGCUAGGGGAUUGGUCGGUGGGAAUCGGCGUGGUGGAAAACUCGGGAUGGAAUUUUAGGCGCUUUUGUUCCCUCAGAUUAGCCCGGAGCCUUGUUUUUUGGGCAAAGCCGGGCGUUGGGCCUCGGUGCUUUAUUCAUGAACGUGACGGCAAGGAGGCGGCGAUGGGCCCAGAAGCACCACCGGCUCCGGACUUCCCUCUGAUCUGCCCACCCGAGCUGUGUGACCUUGGGCGAAUCGUGAUUUCUCUCCGAGCCCCUUGCGCCUCCCGGGGAAGAUGCGGGUUGGGGGAAGACAUCCAUUCCUAAAUCUAAGAGCCAGGAAGCAAGGAAGACUGACCUGAAACACAGCACACCCCUACUUCCUGCGGGAGUGCCCCAGAACCCACAGACACCUGGGUACCUUGCCCAGACUCUGGCUGGCUGUGUGACCUGGGCCAUUGACUCGACCCCUCUGGGCCUCAGUAUCCUCAUCUAUAAAGGCAGCCUAGAGCCCAGCCUGGCAGGUGGUACUGGAGGUCCUGGGUGCUACCCAAGGCUCAUUCUAGCUGGAAAGCAGGGGCUGGAACUGUAGAAGGCCCAGGGCUGGUCUCCUGCGCCUCUAGCUCUUGCUGUGUGUGUUAUUUAAGGCCAUGAUGAAUUAAAUAACAGCCCCCACCCAGACCCUGUAAA